rnacentral:rRNA from 1 species
AUGAACGCUGGCGGCGUGCCUAAUACAUGCACGUCGAGCGAACAGACGAGGAGCUUGCUCCUCUGACGUUAGCGGCGGACGGGUGAGUAACACGUGGAUAACCUACCUAUAAGACUGGGAUAACUUCGGGAAACCGGAGCUAAUACCGGAUAAUAUAUUGAACCGCAUGGUUCCAUAGUGAAAGACGGUUUUGCUGUCACUUAUAGAUGGAUCCGCGCCGCAUUAGCUAGUUGGUAAGGUAACGGCUUACCAAGGCAACGAUGCGUAGCCGACCUGAGAGGGUGAUCGGCCACAAUGGAACUGAGACACGGUCCAGACUCCUACGGGAGGCAGCAGUAGGGAAUCUUCCGCAAUGGGCGAAAGCUUGACGGAGCAACGCCGCGUGAGUGAUGAAGGUCUUCGGAUCGUAAAACUCUGUUAUUAGGGAAGAACAAAUGUGUAAGUAACUAUGCACGUCUUGACGGUACCUAAUCAGAAAGCCACGGCUAACUACGUG